rnacentral:rRNA from 1 species
GACAUAGGUCGCAAACGUUAUCCGGAAUUAUUGGGCGUAAAGGGCGCGUAGGCGGCUUGGCAAGUGGGUGGUGAAAUCCCUCGGCUUAACCGAGGAACUGCCGUCCAAACUGCUUCGCUUGAGACCGGGAGAGGUGAGUGGAAUUCCCAGUGUAGCGGUGAAAUGCGUAGAUAUUGGGAGGAACACCAGUGGCGAAGGCGGCUCACUGGACCGGUACUGACGCUGAUGCGCGAAAGCGUGGGGAGCGAACGGG